CAAGAAAAAUGAAAUCGUAGUCCAAAAAGGUGAAAUAAUGCAAACAAAAAUAGACGAAAAAAACCCAGCUUAGAUAACAUAAUAUUACAGGACGCUAAGGUUAAAGACGUUACUGAACUCAUCAGUCAUCGAUAAUGUAUCUGAACUUGACAAUCAUAUGAACAAAACAGAAUCAAAUUUAGCAAUUUCCAUCCAAGACAAUCCCACAACACCACUGAAUAAAAAUAGGUAAGUAAGUAACUUGCAUUUUUUUUUGUAUAACUCAAGCCCCAACUACUUCGGUGGCAUAAAAAGAUAGGUUAAUAAUAUUGUAGGUUACUCAAAAAUGUUUUGAACCCAAACCGUCAACGUUUUAUUCAAGAUCUAAGUAGGUACAUAGUAGUGUUAGAAUCCGGAGCGGUUUUAGAACUUACAAAAGAAAUGGAAAAAUAUAAAAUUAAAUGUAUAGAAAUUCCAUAAAACAUGGACGUAGGUAGGAAAUAUUUUCGGAGAGGGUUUUGGUCUAGAUAUACAUUAGAUUUAAUUCAUAAUAUUUAUUUUAAAAUUAUUUUAUCUUUAAUGUCGGAGAGGUUUGAACACCCAAAACAGCCCCUUUACCUACGCCCAUGCCAUAGAAGAAGAAAAAGAAGUAUAUUUUGUAAUUGUUUUUUUUUUUAUAUAAAUUAAAUGCUUUUUCAUUGAUUAAA